rnacentral:rRNA from 1 species
AACACAUUGCAAGUCGAGGGGCAGCAUUUCAGUUAGCUUGCUAUUGAAGAUGGCGACCGGCGCACGGGUUGAGUAACACGUAUCCAACCUUACCGUUUACUYUCGGAUAGCCUUCCGAAAGGAAGAAUUANUACGGGAUGGCAUUAAGGGUUCACAUGAUAUCUUAAUUAAAGAAUUUCGGUAAACGAUGGGGAUGCGUUCCAUUAGAUAGUAGGCGGGGUAACGGCCCACCUAGUCGACGAUGGAUAGGGGUUCUGAGAGGAAGGUCCCCCACAUUGGAACUGAGACACGGUCCAAACUCCUACGGGAGGCAGCAGUGAGGAAUAUUGGUCAAUGGACGAGAGUCUGAACCCAGCCAAGUAGCGUGAAGGAUGAAGGUCCUAUGGAUUGUAAACUUCUUUUAUACAGGAAUAAAGUGAGUCACGUGUGGCUUUUUGUAUGUACUGUAUGAAUAAGCAUCGGCUAACUCCGUGCAAAGCAGCCGCGGUAAUACGGAGGAUGCGAGCGUUAUCCGGAUUUAUUGGGUUUAAAGGGAGCGCAGACGGUUUGUUAAGUCACAGUUGUGAAAGUUUGGGGCUCAACCUUAAAAUUGCAAAUUGAUACUGGCAGACUUGAGUGCAGAUGAGGUAGGCGGAAUUCGUGGUGUAGCGGUGAAAUGCUUAGAUU